rnacentral:lncRNA from 1 species
ACCUCUAAUAUCUUAACAGUAUUCGACAACUUCAAUCUUUCUGGAAUCUUCAGUCUGGGGCAAUCUUCUAUCUUCAGAUGCUUGAGCUUCAUCAUUGCAUUUUCUUCCACUGUCCAUUCCUCCAACUCCAUUAAAGAAACAAGGUGUAGAACUUGCAGUUGUGGAAACCCUUCUGAAGAGGAAACCAGUUCCCUCCAUUUGUAUGAUUGGUUCCCCAAGACAAGCAUCUUCAGGUAUGGCAACCUUUCUAGUUGAACUAUCGAAUCUUUCUGGAGCUCAGAACCAAUCAAACUUAGCUUGACUAGGUUUGGCGGAAAUUCACGUACAUGAGGUAACUUCUCUAUUUUCCCCUUCAAACACAGCUUGUGGAGAUGUUGGAAAUGAGAGAGGCCCAUGGAUGUUGGGAAUGUUUCAUUGUUCAUCACCUCCAGUGACAACGAUUGCAGGUAGCACAUUCUCCUUAGUAUUGAAAUCACCAAGUUUACCCUUUCUUGUGAUAAUCUUUCUAUUCCCAGUCGUCGUAGACUGAUCAUGUUGGCUAAGCCUCCGUCUUCUAUCCAUCUUCCAGCCCUUAUAGUUUUUAGGGUCUGUAAAUGGCUCAAGGUGUCCAAUCUAAGCUUGACACGAUUUGGUUGGGACUUAUCACAAAGCAGCAAAUGCCUCAAACGUUUCAUCUUCCAAAUUACAUUGGGGAUGGGUGAAAAAGAAGUUCCCAAAUCCAGUGUCUCUAGGUUCUUCAAGUUUCCAAUCGAUGGUGGGAUGUAGCAAUUUUUAAAAAUCUGGCUCACUCCAAGAUACCUCAACUGAAUUAGGAUCCCUAUAGCACUAGGUGUGUGCGUGGAUCCCAUUGCAUGCUUUAGAUCCAAGACCUUCAGCAACUUGAAAUCCUUUUUAAUAAAAUAGAAUUCUGGAUGUUGAAAGCGGUUGAAAAAAUGAAGGGAUCGUAAAUGGGGAGCAUAUGGAUUUAGGAAAGGUGAGUGUAGGAAACCAUGCUGCGUAGGGUUAGAAUUUAAGGCAAUUCUUCGAGAUUUGGUUGAUGGGGAAACUGAUGAUUCAACUUCACCACCAGUAUAAAUUCCUAGAAAAUUUUCUUCCCUCGAUACGGAGAGAGAGAAGUCUCUAAGAAGAUCAUGGAUGCUGAUGGUCUUAACCCUCCCAAGUGAGGUUAGAGUUCCCACUUGGAUCAUGCACCUAUUAAUCAACUCGUUCAAGCAAUUUUCAGCUACACCUUCUGCUGUAUCUUCCCCUUGUUGGGGUAAGAAUCCUUCUGCUACCCACAAGCGCAUCAAUUGCGUUUUUGGUAUGGAGAAAUCCUCAGGAAAAAGACCCAAAUGGAGAAAACAUGAUUUUAAGUAGAAAGGCAAGUCUUUAUAGCUCAGGGCUAAAAUUGCAGAAACACGAUCUUGAUCAAUCAGGUGCCAACUGAUGUUUUGAAGGACAAGUUCCCAUUCCUCUCUAGUCUUCAUUUUCCUGGAUAGUAAUCCCCCAAGCACCACCAAUGCCAAGGGUAGACCACCGCAUUUCGUCACCAUCUCUCUUCCUAGAUUCUCCAAGUCGGAGGGAAAAUGAUCCAUUCCCGGGAGUGCUUUCUUGCGAAACAAUUCCAGGCUUUCAUCCUCUGUCAGCAUUCGCGGCUCAUGGGGAGUGCUCCUUGCAUCUGCAUGUAAGGCAACCUCCCUGUUUCGGGUUGUCAGCAUCACCUUACUAGUGAGGCUUGGGUCCAAGUUAGUCAUUGUCCCGUAACGGGCAAUGAGAUGAAAUUUUCUCAUAUGUGGAAAAAAAUUCAUCAAGCAUUUUGUGAAAGGGCAAUUGGUUCUACACGUACAUAAAUUGCAUUAUCCAGUAGGUGGAAAGUUCUUAAUAAAAAGUUGGCGAAAUGGAGAAAUGCCUUUGCAAAAGCGAUGGACAAGCAUCGAAGCGGAGAAAACCUUAGCAGUGAGGUAAAUUAUUUGUCAUUUUCCUUCUAUUAAUUUCUAUGUCAUAUUAAUUUUUAUUUAAAUGUUUCUUGCAAUUUAUAUAUUUUGUUAAUAUGUCUCUAGUUUUUUUUUUUAUACAUGUUGCAUUUUUUUUAAAUUUAUUGAAUUUGCAUUAGUUUUUUUUUACAUAUUGCAUUGCCAAUAUUUUUUAAAGUUUCUUGCAUUUCCAUUUAAUUUUUUUUUAUAGAUUAUGCAAGCUCAAAUGUGGUUUGGUGCUACGGGGCAAGGGAAAAAAAGUUUCAAUUGUUGGGAGGUGGUGAAGACUUGUAAGAGUUUGCAAAUAUCAUGCAUGAUUUUAUUGAACAAAUGGGAUUGCAUUCAAUAUCUCCCUCGAAAAUGAACAUCAGAGUACAGAGAUUGUGGGAUAAAAUAAUAUCUCAUAAGAUUCUUACCCCGAGAAUGUCUAUGUCUGUCCACAUUUGGGCGACGGUCUUCUCGUGAACCACGGCGACCCUGGUUUUCUUCCUCCAGCAAAGCAACUGCUAUGUCAAGUUGCUCAUCUAGUUCUCUCUGCGCCCUUUUGCUUGCAGCUCGUCUACGCAUUCUUUCUCUAGUUUCUCGCUCUUGCCUCUCCAAAACCUCUUCCAUGUCUGCCAUUGAGAAUGGAGAAUGAAAUCUAAAAUUUGAGAAAUGGAAGUGUAGAGAAGAACUGGUGUGGGAGGUAUGAGCUGAACCUCUGGUUUUAUAGAAAAAUGUACACAGAUAGAUAUGACACGCGGCGCAAUCUUAGAGGGUGAAAAUAUUAUCUGAAAUUUGAAAUUCAAAUGAAAUUUCAAAUUUCAAAUUUAUCUGAAAUUUGAAUUUCGAAAUGUAUCUGAAAUUUGACAUUUUGAAUUUAUCUGAAAUUUGAAUUUUGAAAUGUAUCUGAAAUUUGAAACCGAAAAUCUUAUCCGAUAUGAAUAGUAUUGACAUGUAGGAACCCAAAAAUCUUAUCCGAAAAUAUUAUCCAAAUUAAUUAUUUAAGUAAACAAAGUUGUGAAAAAAACAAAAAAAUGAAUAGUAUUUGCCAUGGCAAGCCCCAACUGCUGGAAACACAUUUUGCUGGAGAGGGAAUAGUGGCUGCCCUAGGGCUCAUCUUGUCAUGGCAAGGGGCAACUGGUGAAAAUGCUCUAACAGAGUAGCCUUCAUGGCAUUUAUAUAGUAAUGUACAUUUAAAAAAUAAAAAUUUUAAAAUAAAAAUUUAUAAAUAAAAUAAAAAUAAAAAUAAAAAUAAAAUAAAAAAUAAAAAAUAAAAAACAAUCUCAACAAAUUAGAAAGGAGUAAUCAAACUUGAUAACAAAAAUUGUGCCUUAUAAUUAAGGUCAAUUUACUUGAUAAGAAAAUCAAAUUUACAUUAACCUUGGAAACAUUUGAAUCAAUCUCUAAUGUACAUCAAUCUAAUCUGCUGCUCGAAGCUUUUGUCCAUUGCAACAAUCUCUAAUUUCUCUAGAGUAGUAGUAAACAACUUCAAUCUUUCUGGAAUCUUUUUCAGUUUUAGGCACCUUUCUAUCUUUAGAUGCUUGAGCUUCAUCAUUGCAUUUUCUUCCACUGUCCAUUCCUCCAACUCCAUUAAAGAAACAAGGUGUAGAACUUGCAGCUGUGGAAACCCUUCUGAAGAGCAAACCAGUUCCCUCCAUUUGUAUGAUUGGUUCCCCAAGACAAGCAUCUUCAGGUAAGGCAACCUUUCUAGUUGAACUAUCGAAUCUUUCUGGAGCUCAGAACCAAUCAAACUUAGCUUGACGAG